GAUCAUUUGUGGUGCUUCCGGUCUUUUUUUUGUUCAGCCCGUACUCGGAGCCCCUCGGCUCUCCUCCUGUGGGUGAAUCGGACCCCGAAGUCGGUCUGCGAGGCUACUCGCUGCACUUCGUCCUGCACAACACAGGCUCAGAGAUCAUGGCGGGAAACUUCCGCCAGCUGUGCUGUCGCCNNNNNNNNNNCAGGUAAUCUGAUUACAUGAUCUGACCCAGUUAUCUGAUCACAUAGUUAUUGACAGGUAAUCUGAUUACAUGAUCUGACCCAGUUAUCUGAUCACAUAGUUAUUGACAGGUAAUCUGAUUACAUAGUUUAACGUUAUUGACAGGUAAUCUGAUUACAUAAUGUGAGCAGCUUAGAAUGUAAUUUAAGUACAUAAUAUAACCUGAAUAAAAGGUAAUCUAGUUACAUCACAUAGGCGAGGAUAAUGGCUAAAAAAAUAUAUAGUAGGCUUUGCGAUUCAAAAUAAAUAAGCAGUUCUAAUAUUUUAAAUGUUUUCUAGAACUCUGAGAAUUUCAACUUUCUUUCUCGCCAUUUUUUCGGUACUCAACCUGGGAUUAAAUAAACAGGUGGACCCGUCCUGCUGGUUUUGUGUGCUGAUCAGGUGGAAUCCAGCGCGGCCUGCUGGAGCUCAGGGUCAUCAGCAGGAGCGACGUGUCCCAGCACAGGUCGCUCUCCGGGGCCAUCGAGCUGCCCUGGAGGAGCGAGGCCCUGCAGGGCUCCGUGGAGAACUGCUGCGUGAUGACGCUGACCCUGCUGGACGACUCCCAGAAGCCUCGCUGGUGCGUCAGCUCCUCCGUCGCCGUUGUCGGGGCGACGGGGCCUCCGGCCCUCGACUACGCCGGCGAGCACUUCGUGAUGUGCCACUGCGACCCCGGGGGUCAGGUGACCAUGAGGCUGGUCCGGCUGACGGAGCAGAGGCAGUUCCUCGUGGUCGACCUCGUCGUCCGCGUUCCCGCCGCCGGGCGCCACUAGCGCUUCAGAGCUCGUGCGUGAUUUAG
ensembl:lncRNA